GCGAGGCGCCAGGCAGCGGGAGGUACUCACCCGCUCGGGACUCUGACGUCAGCGUGGUGCCUGCCGUCGUACCUCACGCUCAGGCCGAAGUCGGUUUGCACCAGCACGUGUCUCCCGGAGGGUCGGACGGUGACUCUGGGGUUCGGGCUGACGGGGACAGUCACGGGCUGUCCGUUCACCUGAAAAACACACACGGGGAGAAAUGAGGAGAUUCGAAAAAACGGUGGCGAUCACUUGACCUCCCCUGCGCAAUGUGUCCUUUCACUUGGAAGGGUUCUCUGUCCCUCUUGGCAAGACCAGCAGCCCCUCAACGUACUGUACAAAGAAAGCUGGAUUUGAAUCCGGGCGGACUUACACCCUGGCUUGGAAAAGUCGUCGUCGGGGCCGGAGUUCUCCACGUCAGUCUGCCCAUUCCAUUGGUCAAAGGGGACCAGGGGUGGAGUGUCUUCAUUGGUCCAACCACAUAGAUUGCCAAACUCAUCGAAGUCACAUUGGAAGAUACAAUCUGCACAGGAGAGGAAGGAUAUAUCCAAUCAUGUGCUCAAACAUAGCUUUCUGCCAAGGCGUUAGCAAUAGAUAAGAGCUUCCGUGACACAGUAAAACGGUGAUCGCUACAUAUAGUAAUAUUAGCAAUAUAUUAACAUAAUAUCUUCA